rnacentral:antisense_RNA from 1 species
UAGGUGUAAUGAGAAGCAUUACAAGACCUGGUACUACGAGUGCUAAUGCCCAAAGGCCCCAGUUGAGAUCUACGCCAAGGAUUUUGUUCAUGUAGUCAGCAGCCAAUAAGUUUGGUGCCAUUGCUGUAGCGAACAUCAAGCUUGUUACCUUAGUAACCAUGUAUGUGUUAACCAUGAGGUAAGAACCAGCUUUUUUAGCGCUUUCACCAGGCUCAGAACCUAAAGCUUUUGCUACAGAGUUCAUG